rnacentral:rRNA from 1 species
CCCUUAGAUGUUCUGGGCUGCACGCGCGCUACACUGACGCGCGCAACAGGUGCCUGCUCCGAGAGGACUGGGUAAUCAUUUGAGUGUGCGUCGUGAUGGGGAUAGAAUAUUGUAAUUAUUACUCUUCAACGAGGAAUUCCUAGUAAGCGCCAGUCAGCAGCUUGCGCUGAUUGCGUCCCUGCCCUUUGUACACACCGCCCGUCGCUCCUACCGAUGGGUGAUCCGGUGAAUGAUUCGGACUUCAGCGGCUCCCCUGGGGUGCGCCGGAGAAAGUUUUGUGAACCUUAUCACUUGGAGGAAGGAGAAGUCGUAACA